UCCUGUGGGAUAGCUUAGUUGGUAGAGCAUGAGACUCAAGGUUGUGGGUUCGAGUCCCACGUUGGGUGAA